UAAAGUGGCGUACGGGUGAGUAACACGUGGGUGAUCUACCUCUUAGUGAGGAAUAACCCUGGGAAACCGGGGCUAAUACCGCAUAAGCCUUAGCAGGGAAAGUCGAAAGACGCUGAGAGAGGAGCCCGCGGCCGAUUAGCUAGUUGGUGAGGUAAGAGCCCACCAAGGCAGAGAUCGGUAGCCGGCCUGAGAGGGCACACGGCCACACUGGCACUGAAACACGGGCCAG
rnacentral:rRNA from 1 species